rnacentral:lncRNA from 1 species
CGCCGGCAGUGGGUUUGGCGUCCAGCUGCCAGGGGACAAGCGAGGCGUCGGAGGUGACAGGAAGCAGCGGCGGCGGUGGGUCGGAUCUGACGGAUCUGAUCAAAGCUCAGAUCGCGAACCACCCUCGCUACCCCUCUCUUCUAUCCGCCUACAUCGAGUGUCAGAAGGUAUUAGUACUCGUAUGCACAUAUAUAACAGUAGCGUAAAGAUUGGGAAGAAUCUAAGAGCUGUUGAUGGAUUAUCACAUGUGAUGUGUCGGUCCUUCACGCGAAGGUGGGGGCGCCGCCGGAGGUGGCGACGCUUUUGGAAGAGAUCGGGAGGGAGAGGUACUCCAGCAUGGGCGGUGGCGAGAUCGGAGCUGAUCCGGAGCUGGAUGAGUUCAUGGUAACAUGG